CAUAUUGUUUCUAAAUCAGUUCUUCUAUCUCAGUGUAAAGUUCCUCUGUAGGUGAUUCUGUCUGAUUUGAAGUGUGAUGAGAUAUUUGGACUAAAAAUGAGACAAAUCCACUUGGUCAGUUAGAUCUUUUUUACAGUACUUUUCUUAGAAUCA